GGGCCCGUAGCUCAGAUGGUAGAGCGCCGGCUUUGCAAGCCGGAGGUCCCGGGUUCGAGUCCCGGCGGGUCCA
rnacentral:tRNA from 1 species